UUGGCCGGGCGACGGUUGUCCCGGUUUAAGCGUGUAGGCUGGUUUUCCAGGCAAAUCCGGAAAAUCAAGGCUGAGGCGUGAUGACGAGGCACUACGGUGCUGAAGCAACAAAUGCCCUGCUUCCAGGAAAAGCCUCUAAGCAUCAGGUAACAUUAAAUCGUACCCCAAACCGACACAGGUGGUCAGGUAGAGAAUACCAAGGCGCUUGAGAGAACUCGGGUGAAGGAACUAGGCAAAAUGGUGCCGUAACUUCGGGAGAAGGCACGCUGAUAUGUAGGUGAAGUCCCUCGCGGAUGGAGCUGAAAUCAGUCGAAGAUACCAGCUGGCUGCAACUGUUUAUUAAAAACACAGCACUGUGCAAACACGAAAGUGGACGUAUACGGUGUGACGCCUGCCCGGUGCCGGAAGGUUAAUUGAUGGGGUUAGCGGUAACGCGAAGCUCUUGAUCGAAGCCCCGGUAAACGGCGGCCGUAACUAUAACGGUCCUAAGGUAGCGAAAUUCCUUGUCGGGUAAGUUCCGACCUGCACGAAUGGCGUAAUGAUGGCCAGGCUGUCUCCACCCGAGACUCAGUGAAAUUGAACUCGCUGUGAAGAUGCAGUGUACCCGCGGCAAGACGGAAAGACCCCGUGAACCUUUACUAUAGCUUGACACUGAACAUUGAGCCUUGAUGUGUAGGAUAGGUGGGAGGCUUUGAAGUGUGGACGCCAGUCUGCAUGGAGCCGACCUUGAAAUACCACCCUUUAAUGUUUGAUGUUCUAACGUUGACCCGUGAUCCGGGUUGCGGACAGUGUCUGGUGGGUAGUUUGACUGGGGCGGUCUCCUCCUAAAGAGUAACGGAGGAGCACGAAGGUUGGCUAAUCCUGGUCGGACAUCAGGAGGUUAGUGCAAUGGCAUAAGCCAGCUUGACUGCGAGCGUGACGGCGCGAGCAGGUGCGAAAGCAGGUCAUAGUGAUCCGGUGGUUCUGAAUGGAAGGGCCAUCGCUCAACGGAUAAAAGGUACUCCGGGGAUAACAGGCUGAUACCGCCCAAGAGUUCAUAUCGACGGCGGUGUUUGGCACCUCGAUGUCGGCUCAUCACAUCCUGGGGCUGAAGUAGGUCCCAAGGGUAUGGCUGUUCGCCAUUUAAAGUGGUACGCGAGCUGGGUUUAGAACGUCGUGAGACAGUUCGGUCCCUAUCUGCCGUGGGCGCUGGAGAACUGAGGGGGGCUGCUCCUAGUACGAGAGGACCGGAGUGGACGCAUCACUGGUGUUCGGGUUGUCAUGCCAAUGGCACUGCCCGGUAGCUAAAUGCGGAAGAGAUAAGUGCUGAAAGCAUCUAAGCACGAAACUUGCCCCGAGAUGAGUUCUCCCUGACUCCUUGAGAGUCCUGAAGGAACGUUGAAG
rnacentral:rRNA from 1 species